UGAGGAAUAUUGGUCAAUGGGCGCAAGCCUGAACCAGCCAUCCCGCGUGCAGGAAGACGGCGCUAUGCGUUGUAAACUGCUUUUCCAGGGGGAGAAACUUGCGCACGUGUUGCGCAAUUGACGGUACCCUGGGAAUAAGCAUCGGCUAACUCCGUGCCAGCAGCCGCGGUAAUACGGAGGAUGCGAGCGUUAUCCGGAUUCAUUGGGUUUAAAGGGUGCGUAGGCGGACUAUUAAGUCAGUGGUGAAAUCCUGCAGCUUAACUGCAGAACUGCCAUUGAUACUGAUAGCCUUGAGUUUGGUUAAGGUAGGCGGAAUGUGUAAUGUAGCGGUGAAAUGCUUAGAUAUUACACAGAACACCAAUUGCGUAGGCAGCUUACUGAGCCGACACUGACGCUGAGGCACGAAAGCGUGGGGAU
rnacentral:rRNA from 1 species